rnacentral:rRNA from 1 species
CUUGGUCAUUGGAGGAAGUAAAAUCCGUAACAAGGUUUCCGUAGGUGAACCUGCAGAAGGAUCCUUG